rnacentral:rRNA from 1 species
GAUGAACGCUGGCGGCGUGCUUAACACAUGCAAGUCGAACGAGGUACCCUUGACAGAGGCUUCGGCCAAUUGAUAGGAAUACCUAGUGGCGGACGGGUGAGUAACGCGUGAGGAACCUGCCUUGGAGUGGGGAAUAACAGUUAGAAAUAGCUGCUAAUACCGCAUAAUGCAACUAAGUCGCAUGGCUUUGGUUGCCAAAGAUUUAUCGCUCUAAGAUGGCCUCGCGUCUGAUUAGAUAGUUGGCGGGGUAACGGCCCACCAAGUCGACGAUCAGUAGCCGGACUGAGAGGUUGGCCGGCCACAUUGGGACUGAGACACGGCCCAGACUCCUACGGGAGGCAGCAGUGGGGAAUAUUGGGCAAUGGGCGCAAGCCUGACCCAGCAACGCCGCGUGAAGGAAGAAGGCCCUCGGGUUGUAAACUUCUUUUAUUCGGGACGAAACAAAUGACGGUACCGAAUGAAUAAGCCACGGCUAACUACGUGCCAGCAGCCGCGGUAAUACGUAGGUGGCAAGCGUUAUCCGGAUUUACUGGGUGUAAAGGGCGUGUAGGCGGGAGAGCAAGUCAGACGUGAAAUUCCAGGGCUCAACCCUGGAACUGCGUUUGAAACUGUUCUUCUUGAGUGAUGGAGAGGCAGGCGGAAUUCCGUGUGUAGCGGCGAAAUGCGUAGAUAUACGGAGGAACACCAGUGGCGAAGGCGGCCUGCUGGACAUUAACUGACGCUGAGGCGCGAAAGCGUGGGGAGCAAACAGGAUUAGAUACCCUGGUAGUCCACGCUGUAAACGAUGGAUACUAGGUGUGGGGGGUCUGACCCCCUCCGUGCCGCAGCUAACGCAAUAAGUAUCCCACCUGGGGAGUACGAUCGCAAGGUUGAAACUCAAAGGAAUUGACGGGGGCCCGCACAAGCGGUGGAGUAUGUGGUUUAAUUCGAAGCAACGCGAAGAACCUUACCAGGGCUUGACAUCCCGCUGACCGGUGUAGAGAUACACUUUUCCCUUCGGGGACAGCGGUGACAGGUGGUGCAUGGUUGUCGUCAGCUCGUGUCGUGAGAUGUUGGGUUAAGUCCCGCAACGAGCGCAACCCUUAUUGUUAGUUGCUACGCAAGAGCACUCUAACGAGACUGCCGUUGACAAAACGGAGGAAGGUGGGGACGACGUCAAAUCAUCAUGCCCCUUAUGUCCUGGGCCACACACGUACUACAAUGGCGGUCAACAAAGAGAGGCAAAACCGCGAGGUGGAGCAAAUCUCAAAAAGCCGUCCCAGUUCGGAUUGCAGGCUGCAACCCGCCUGCAUGAAGUUGGAAUCGCUAGUAAUCGCGGAUCAGCAUGCCGCGGUGAAUACGUUCCCGGGCCU